ACCCUGGUAGUCCAUGCCGUAAACGUUGGGCACUAGGUGUGGGGACCAUUCCACGGUUUCCGCGCCGCAGCUAACGCAUUAAGUGCCCCGCCUGGGGAGUACGGCCGCAAGGCUAAAACUCAAAGGAAUUGACGGGGGCCCGCACAAGCGGCGGAGCAUGCGGAUUAAUUCGAUGCAACGCGAAGAACCUUACCAAGGCUUGACAUGUUCUCGAUCGCCGUAGAGAUACGGUUUCCCCUUUGGGGCGGGUUCACAGGUGGUGCAUGGUUGUCGUCAGCUCGUGUCGUGAGAUGUUGGGUUAAGUCCCGCAACGAGCGCAACCCUCGUUCCAUGUUGCCAGCACGUCGUGGUGGGGACUCAUGGGAGACUGCCGGGGUCAACUCGGAGGAAGGUGAGGACGACGUCAAAUCAUCAUGCCCCUUAUGUCUUGGGCUUCACGCAUGCUACAAUGGCCGGUACAAUGGGUUGCGAUACUGUGAGGUGGAGCUAAUCCCAAAAAGCCGGUCUCAGUUCGGAUUGGGGUCUGCAACUCGACCCCAUGAAGUCGGAGUCGCUAGUAAUCGCAGAUCAGCAACGCUGCGGUGAAU
rnacentral:rRNA from 1 species